rnacentral:rRNA from 1 species
GGUUGAUCCUGCCAGUAGUCAUAUGCUUGUCUCAAAGAUUAAGCCAUGCAUGUCUAAGUAUAAGCAACUUUGUACUGUGAAACUGCGAAUGGCUCAUUAAAUCAGUUAUAGUUUAUUUGAUGGUUUUUGCUACAUGGAUAACUGUGGUAAUUCUAGAGCUAAUACAUGCAUUCAAGCCCCGACUUCUGGAAGGGGUGUAUUUAUUAGAUAAAAAUCAACUUUGUUGGUGAAUCAUAAUAACUUCUCGGACCGCAUGGCCUCGUGCUGGCGGUGCUUCAUUCAAAUAUCUGCC